GGGGGUAUAGCUAAGUGGUAGAGCACACGCUUAGCAUGCCCAAGGUCCUGGGUUCAAUCCCCAGGACCUCCA
rnacentral:tRNA from 1 species